AUUGAACGCUGGCGGCAGGCCUAACACAUGCAAGUCGAGCAAGCGGCGGACGGGUGAGUAAUGUAUGGGGACUGCCCGGAGGAGAGGGAUAACUACUGGAAACGGUAGCUAAUACCGCAUACUAUCGGAUAACCCAUAUGGGAUUAGCUAGUGGGUGGGGUAAUGGCUCACCUAGGCGACGAUCCCUAGCUGGUCUGAGAGGAGGAUCAGCAACACUGGGACUGAGACACGGCCCAGACUCCUACGGAGGCAGCAGUGGGGAAUAUUGCACAAUGGGCGCAAGCCUGAUGCAGCCAUGCCGCGUGUAUGAAGAAGGCCCUAGGGUUGUAAAGUACUUUCAGUCGGGAGGCGUUACCGACAGAAGAAGCACCGGCUAACUCCGUGCCAGCAGCCGCGGUAAUAC
rnacentral:rRNA from 1 species